UACAAUUAGGCCUAAGGUGUCUGAGUUUCCCAUUUUGGAAGCUCUCGGAAUAGGAAGACAAAGAAAUGACUCCUUUGAUUGCGGUAUUUGGGUAGCAACUUGGAUGAAGAACUGCAUUUGGAUUGAUGAUUACAACAUUUAUGUUGAUGAUGCAACUAGGAUGCGCAUUGCUAUAGAUUUGAUCAUGAAGUCAUACAAUCUGAAAAAAAAUACC